rnacentral:lncRNA from 1 species
ACGUGAGAGGAGACUUCCGGCCACUGCGUUGUAGUCGGCCCGGCUGCAAAGCGUUUUUCUGCAGGCUGUUUUCCCAGGUUCCCUCGGCCUGUACCUCGCGCACUCCUCUUGCUCCAGGUCCUUCAGUCUCCGCUCGUCUCACCGUAGGCUGUGACGACAUGAGCAACAAAGAAGGAUCAGGAGGGUUCAGGAAAAGGAAGCAUGACAAUUUCCCACAUAACCAAAGAAGAGAAGGGAAGGAUGUUAAUUCAUCUUCACCCGUGAUGUUGGCCUUUAAAUGACUACAGGAAUAUGUGGAAGCUGUCUCUUUUCAACACUUCAUCAAAACACGAUCAUUAAUUAGUAUGGAUGAAAUUAAUAAACAAUUGAUAUUUACGACUGAAGACAAUGGGAAAGAAAAUAAAACUGCAGCCGGGAUUGCUUACCACCUGCAGCGUGCUUUCGGAGGCGGCGGCUGGCACGGAGGCCGGGCUACAUGAGAAGCUCGACAGGGCCUGGGAUCGGGUUCCUUUCCCCAGCAGUGGGCACACUGUUCCGGUUCCCAGGAGGGGUGUCUGGCGAGGAGUCCCACCACUCGGAGUCCAGGGCCAGACAGUGUGGCCUUGACUCGAGAGGCCUCUUGGUCCGGAGCCCUGUUUCCAAGAGUGCAGCAGCCCCUACUGUGACCUCUGUGAGAGGAACCUCGGCGCACUUUGGGAUUCAGCUCAGAGGUGGCACCAGAUUGCCUGACAGGCUUAGCUGGCCGUGUGGCCCUGGGAGUGCUGGGUGGCAGCAAGAGUUUGCAGCCAUGGAUAGUUCUGAGACCCUGGACGCCAGCUGGGAGGCAGCCUGCAGCGAUGGAGCAAGGCGUGUCCGGGCAGCAGGCUCUCUGCCAUCAGCAGAGUUGAGUAGCAACAGCUGCAGCCCUGGCUGUGGCCCUGAGGUCCCCCCAACCCCUCCUGGCUCUCACAGUGCCUUUACCUCAAGCUUUAGCUUUAUUCGGCUCUCGCUUGGCUCUGCCGGGGAACGUGGAGAAGCAGAAGGCUGCCCACCAUCCAGAGAGGCUGAGUCCCAUUGCCAGAGCCCCCAGGAGAUGGGAGCCAAAGCUGCCAGCUUGGACGGGCCUCACGAGGACCCGCGAUGUCUCUCUCGGCCCUUCAGUCUCUUGGCUACACGGGUCUCUGCAGACUUGGCCCAGGCCGCAAGGAACAGCUCCAGGCCAGAGCGUGACAUGCAUUCUUUACCAGACAUGGACCCUGGCUCCUCCAGUUCUCUGGAUCCCUCACUGGCUGGCUGUGGUGGUGAUGGGAGCAGCGGCUCAGGGGAUGCCCACUCUUGGGACACCCUGCUCAGGAAAUGGGAGCCAGUGCUGCGGGACUGCCUGCUGAGAAACCGGAGGCAGAUGGAGGUAAUAUCCUUAAGAUUAAAACUUCAGAAACUUCAGGAAGAUGCAGUUGAGAAUGAUGAUUAUGAUAAAGCUGAGACGUUACAACAAAGAUUAGAAGACCUGGAACAAGAGAAAAUCAGCCUGCACUUUCAACUUCCUUCAAGGCAGCCAGCUCUUAGCAGUUUCCUGGGUCACCUGGCAGCACAAGUCCAGGCUGCCUUGCGCCGUGGGGCCACUCAGCAGGCCAGCGGAGAUGACACCCACACCCCACUGAGAAUGGAGCCGAGGCUGUUGGAACCCACUGCUCAGGACAGCUUGCACGUGUCCAUCACGAGACGAGACUGGCUUCUUCAGGAAAAGCAGCAGCUACAGAAAGAAAUCGAAGCUCUCCAAGCAAGGAUGUUUGUGCUGGAAGCCAAAGAUCAACAGCUGAGAAGGGAAAUAGAGGAGCAAGAGCAGCAACUCCAGUGGCAGGGCUGCGACCUGACCCCACUGGUGGGCCAGCUGUCCCUGGGUCAGCUGCAGGAGGUCAGCAAGGCCUUGCAGGACACCCUGGCCUCAGCCGGUCAGAUUCCCUUCCAUGCAGAGCCACCGGAAACCAUAAGGAGCCUCCAGGAAAGAAUAAAAUCCCUCAACUUGUCACUUAAAGAAAUCACUACUAAGGUGUGUAUGAGUGAGAAAUUCUGCAGCACCCUGAGGAAGAAAGUUAACGAUAUUGAAACCCAACUACCAGCCUUGCUUGAAGCCAAAAUGCAUGCCAUAUCAGGAAACCAUUUCUGGACGGCUAAAGACCUCACCGAGGAGAUUAGAUCAUUAACAUCAGAGAGAGAAGGGCUGGAGGGACUCCUCAGCAAGCUGUUGGUGUUGAGUUCCAGGAAUGUCAAAAAGCUGGGAAGUGUUAAAGAAGAUUACAACAGACUGAGAAGAGAAGUGGAGCACCAGGAGACUGCCUAUGGUAGGUAGUGCACAACUGUUCCCCGGCAAGAUAUUGAUGAUAUUUGUUGUGUUUUGUGGCCAGGCAGAAUGUUCUGUGCCUUAUGUGAACGUCACUGUGAAGAGCGUCAUGGAGCACAUGGCCCUUUUCCUUGGGGACAUUUUUGGCAGGUGCCUUGGCAAACCGAAUGGAAUUACUUGUCAGCUUUUGUUUUCAUAUUCACAUGUGACAUCUUUUCUUUUUCUGUUCCCUGUCUCAACCUGUGUUUGCUAAUAGCCUUGUUAUUAUUUAGAGCAGUCUCUCCCUUGGCAAGGUCUUGAGCAUUUUCUUUGUGUGACAAUUAUCUUCCUUUUGUCCCUUGGCUCCGUCUCCUUGUCUGCACAAUCAUAGACUAAAUCAGGCUGAUCUGAGAAAAUUGAGGGAAGACCAUAAAGUGGCUCUUCUAUGUGUGGACUUUUCUGAGAGCUUCUUUCCCCAGGAAGGAUGAUGUAGAAGAUGUGAAUGCCGCCUUAGCCAAAGUGUCUGCUUGUCAGAGGAGUUCAAGUGUUCCUGUGUUCUUUCCUUUUCCAGUCGUUAGGAGUAACUGAGCUUACUCUGAGAUUUGCACCCAGAGGGAUGGUCUCAGAAGACGCUGGUUCAGUGCAAAUUGAGAUGGUAAAAACUUAUUUCUUAAAAAAUGGUUCCUAAAUAAAUGUCAUUUACUAAAACAAAUGAAAGAAAUAUAUAUAUGAAUAAAUGGCUAUAUUUU